rnacentral:rRNA from 1 species
GGCGAACGGGUGAGUAACACGUGGGUAACCUGCCUUUGGCUCUGGGAUAACUCCGGGAAACCGGGGCUAAUACCGGAUAUGACCUGGUCUCGCAUGGGGUUGGGUGGAAAGUUCUGUGUCUGUUGUGGGCAUGGUUCGGCUGGAGAUGGGCCCGCGGCCUAUCAGCUUGUUGGUGGGGUGAUGGCUUACCAAGGCUUUGACGGGUAGCCGGCCUGAGAGGGUGAUCGGCCACACUGGGACUGAGACACGGCCCAGACUCCUGCGGGAGGCAGCAGUGGGGAAUAUUGCGCAAUGGGCGGAAGCCUGACGCAGCGACGCCGCGUGGGGGAUGACGGCCUUCGGGUUGUAAACCUCUUUCACCAGGGACCAAGGCUUUUGGGUUGAGUGUACCUGGAGAAGAAGCACCGGCUGACUACGUGCCAGCAGCCGCGGUAAUACGUAGGGUGCGAGCGUUGUCCGGAUUUAUUGGGCGUAAAGGGCUCGUAGGCGGCUGGUCGCGUCGGAAGUGAAAGCCCAUGGCUUAACUGUGGGUCUGCUUCCGGUACGGGCCGGCUGGAGUGUGGCAGGGGAGACUGGAAUUCCUGGUGUAGCGGUGGAAUGCGCAGAUAUCAGGAGGAACACCGGUGGCGAAGGCGGGUCUCUGGGCCAUUACUGACGCUGAGGAGCGAGAGCGUGGGGAGCGAACAGGAUUAGAUACCCUGGUAGUCCACGCUGUAAACGUUGGGCGCUGGGUGUGGGGCCUGUUUCCACGGGUUCCGUGCCGUAGCUAACGCAUUAAGCGCCCCGCCUGGGGAGUACGGCCGCAAGGCUAAAACUCAAAGGAAUUGACGGGGGCCCGCAC